rnacentral:rRNA from 1 species
AACUUGAGAGUUUGAUCAUGGCUCAGAACGUACGCUGGCGGCACGCCUAACACAUGCAAGUCGAACGAAGUAGCAAUACUUAGUGGCAGACGGGUGAGUAACAUGUAGGUAUCUGCCCUUUGGCCUGGAAUAACACGAGGAAACUUGUGCUAAUACCGGAUAAGUCUUUACGGAGAAAGCUUUAUGCACCAUUGGAUGAGCCUGCACUUGAUUAGUUUGUUGGUGGGGUAAUGGCCUACCAAGACUGUGAUCAAUAGCUGAUUUGAGAGGAUGAUCAGCCACAUUGGGACUGAGACACGGCCCAAACUCCUACGGGAGGCAGCAGUGGGGAAUCUUGCACAAUGGAGGAAACUCUGAUGCAGCGAUGCCGCGUGAGUGAAGAAGGCCUUUGGGUUGUAAAGCUCUUUCGUCGGGGAAGAAAAUGACUGUACCCGAAUAAGAAGGUCCGGCUAACUUCGUGCCAGCAGCCGCGGUAAUACGAAGGGACCUAGCGUAGUUCGGAAUUACUGGGCUUAAAGAGUUCGUAGGUGGUUGAAAAAGUUAGUGGUGAAAUCCCAGAGCUUAACUCUGGAACUGCCAUUAAAACUUUUCAGCUAGAGUAUGAUAGAGGAAAGCAGAAUUUCUAGUGUAGAGGUGAAAUUCGUAGAUAUUAGAAAGAAUACCAAUUGCGAAGGCAGCUUUCUGGAUCAUUACUGACACUGAGGAACGAAAGCAUGGGUAGCGAAGAGGAUUAGAUACCCUCGUAGUCCAUGCCGUAAACGAUGUGUGUUAGACGUUGGAAAUUUAUUUUCAGUGUCGCAGCGAAAGCGAUAAACACACCGCCUGGGGAGUACGACCGCAAGGUUAAAACUCAAAUGAAUUGACGGGGACCCGCACAAGUAGUGGAGCAUGUGGUUUAAUUCGAAGAUACGCGCAGAACCUUACCAACACUUGACAUGUUCGUCGCGACUCUAAGAGAUUAGAGUUUUCGGUUCGGCCGGACGAAACACAGGUGCUGCAUGGCUGUCGUCAGCUCGUGUCGUGAGAUGUUGGGUUAAGUCCCGCAACGAGCGCAACCCUCACUUUUAGUUGCCAUCAUUAAGUUGGGCACUCUGAAAGAACUGCCAGUGAUAAGCUGGAGGAAGGUGGGGAUGACGUCAAGUCCUCAUGGCCCUUACGUGUUGGGCUACACACGUGCUACAAUGGUAUCUACAACAGGAAGCAAGACUGCGAGGUCAAGCAAAUCCUUAAAAGAUACCUCAGUUCGGAUUGCACUCUGCAACUCGAGUGCAUGAAGCUGGAAUUACUAGUAAUCGUGGAUCAGCGUGCCACGGUGAAUGCGUUCCCGGGUCUUGUACACACCGCCCGUCACACCAUGGGAGUUGGUUCUACCUUAAGGCAAGGUUUCAAACCCUUGACCACGGUAUAGUCAGCGACUGGGGUGAAGUCGUAACAAGGUAGCCGUAGGGGAACCUGCGGCUGGAUUACCUCCUUUCUAA